CUGUCCUGCAUUUGGUCUUCAUGACUGUUAUCACCGGGAAGAAACCCGAGCCUAGCCUGUGACAGACCCGGGACUAGGACCGACACCUACAUAUUCGAAGUUCUCCAGGGGUCAGGUCAAGGAAAGAAGAGAGAUGGCAGAGAGGUCAAGGAAGGUCCGAAACCAGGUGGCCAAGGGGGCAGGAAAAAUACCGACAGAGAGGUGAAGCAAUUCCCAAGUCUUCCCAGCAGAGGGCGAUAGUACCCCAGAGCUCCGCAAACCUGCCCAGGCCACGCCCCCUGCCCGGCCCGGCCCGGCUCCUCCCGGGACCCGGGAGCCACAGGGACCCUUCCCGGGUUUCUAAAGGGUCUGAAGGGCGAGAGGAUGGGCGGCGGGUGGGGUGUGGCAAGAGAAUAAGGGAGGAUCCGUCGGAGAGGUUGCCCGGGGCAUGGUGUGGGUGUCUGCAACGGGGUCAAGUGUGCUGGGGCGCCGCGCGUCUGCGCCGGAAGAGCGAGCGCGUAAAGCGAGCUGGAGCUUCCAGCCAAACACAACCCAGAGUCCCCGUCUCCACCCCCACCCCAGCUAAUGAUGGCUGCACCCCCAAGCUGGUACCUGCCUCUGCAAAAUCAGCCCUCAGCCUCUCGGCUUCAGGGUAGGCGAGGGUGGGGAGGGGGGCGCCCCGCUGAUUCCAGUUGGUGCACUGAAGUGGCACCCAGCUCACGGUCUGAUCUUCCCCCUGCCAACCCCCAACUAUUGGUCUAGACCAGAACCUUUGAGGAGCAGCUGCAGGGAAGACCUAGCCUGCCAGCUUCUCAGGCUGGGGUCUCCGCUCCCCUCCCCUUCCCCAUUGAGCUCUGGCCACACACAGCCAGCAGGUCCCGGAUACCUCUGUUGUGUGCCAACGGCCGCUCCAGCCAAGAUGGGGACACACGGGUCUCCAACGGGAUCUCCCUGCCCUCCAAGAGCUCCAAGUCAAUGGGGGAGCCGCCACCACACCACGGGCCAGAAAGUGCCAGUGGGAGGCACAGGUCAUCAGCUCCCUGUGGAUGGAUGAUAGGACCUCAGGGGAACCAGAGUUCUGUCCGUGUUUGGAGUGCCAAGGUUCUAGCUGGGAGGGAGCUCAGAGGUCUCUAGAGUCGACUUCAGUCAACUUGUGUUCAGUAAUUCUUUAUUGAACAUAAAGAUCGUUUUUAAAAUAUGGAAGCUCCAGCCUGCCGCAGAACGCCUGAAUCAGAACCUUAAGGGAAGGAGCAGGGUCCUGGCUACUUUUAAAUGUCUCGCGGGUGAUUUGUUGCUGUAGUUGGUAAUCACUGGCCUUACAUUCACUUAACCAGAGACGAGUUUCCCAGA
rnacentral:lncRNA from 1 species